UACGGAGGGUGCAAGCGUUAAUCGGAAUUACUGGGCGUAAAGCGUGCGUAGACGGUUACAUAAGUCGGGUGUGAAAGCCCCGGGCUCAACCUGGGAAUUGCAUUCGAGACUGCGUAGCUAGGGUGCGGAAGAGGGAAGCGGAAUUUCCGGUGUAGCGGUGAAAUGCGUAGAUAUCGGAAGGAACACCAGUGGCGAAAGCGGCUUCCUGGUCCAGCACCGACGUCAGGCACGAAAGCGUGGGGAGCAAACAGGG
rnacentral:rRNA from 1 species